rnacentral:rRNA from 1 species
CCUACGGGAGGCAGCAGUGGGGGAUAUUGCACAAUGGGGGAAACCCUGAUGCAGCGACGCCGCGUGUGGGAAGACGGUCCUCUGGAUUGUAAACCACUGUCCCCAGGGACGAAGAUGACGGUACCUGGGGAGGAAGCUCCGGCUAACUACGUGCCAGCAGCCGCGGUAAUACGUAGGGAGCGAGCGUUGUCCGGAAUUACUGGGUGUAAGGGGAGCGUAGGCGGGACUGCAAGUUGGGUGUCAAAUCUACCGGCUCAACCGGUAGCCGCACUCAAAACUGCAGUUCUUGAGUGAAGUAGAGGCAGGCGGAAUGCCUAGUGUAGCGGUGAAAUGCGUAGAUAUUAGGAGGAACACCAGUGGCGAAGGCGGCCUGCUGGGCUUUUACUGACGCUGAGGCUCGAAAGUGUGGGGAGCAAACAGGAUUAGAUACCCGGGUAGUC